ACUUGCGGUGGAACGUUGUCAGAGGCUCGGGACCAUGUUCUGCCACUCGUGAAGCCCGAGAGAAGCAGUCAAUCGCUCAACGACACCUCCGGGGGCAGAACGGGCGGAAAUGGAUGUUAGGCCACUCUACGGCCUACCUUCUAUACCCGCCCCCUUAGAAUGGAGGUUUUGAAACCCGGAAGCAAUUCAUCGGUCUCCGGAACAAGCCGCGGGCUACGCGGGGGCGGUGCGUGGCGGGCUCGUGGCCCUGCCUUCUGAGAAUCUUCCCCUCCCCAGGGGCACCCAGCAUGCUUUGGGCACGUGGCAGCUCAUAUCCUAAAUAGGAGCAGUCCUGGGACGCUAUCCUGUGAGGGUGGAGACGCAUCCCGAGACUGGACAGAGACCGAGAGGUGGAGCUGAGCUCAUACAGGGCUAAGGGGUAAAUCUGACUCACCCAAGAGGCCGGAACUGACCUGCUGCAAACCUACCAAGGAGCUGCGCUAGGCUGUGUGGAAAGAACACGGUGGGGGCGGGGAAGGGGGACUGUAAACUAUGCUAUGGGGCUCUACCUCUUACUUUUGAGACCCAAGACCGUGAAAUACGACGAGAAUGGAUUUCCUCUUCGUCCAGGUAGUGAGUGAUUUUAUGCUGCAGACAUUGAAGUCCAGAGCCUGAGGUGGGAUCGCCUGGGUUCCGUACACAUCUGCUGUUCCUUGAACAAGUUCCCACACAAUCACAAACAAGGCUGGAAAAGUUAGCCCAUGGAACUUAAGGAUGAGUCAGAACACAGUACCACUGGCCUCUUGGUAUUAGCAAUUAGACAACACUAAUAGCGCCUAAGAACCACCGACCUUGAUAGCUGAGUCCAAGAGACCCACACCCUAGUUCUAUUUUAUAUGGCAGUACUCAAGGAGUUUGUCCUUUAGCUAAAAAGGAAAGAAGCUGCAAAAAGAACUUGGAAGUAUUUUUUAUUAAAAAAAAAAUUGCAUGUGUGUACACAUGUGUGUCCUGAGAAAACCAGAAGGGAUGCUGGAUUAAGAAUGUGUCCUGGGGGGGGCUGGGGAUUUAGCUCAGUGGUAGAGCGCUUACCUAGGAAGCGCAAGGCCCUGGGUUCGGUCCCCAGCUCCGAAAAAAA
rnacentral:lncRNA from 1 species